rnacentral:rRNA from 1 species
GGUUGACCUCGGAUCAGGUAGGGAUACCCGCUGAACUUAAGCAUAUCAAUAAGCGGAGGAAAAGAAACCAACAGGGAUUGCCUCAGUAACGGCGAGUGAAGCGGCAAGAGCUCAAAUUUGAAAGCUGGCCCCUUCGGGGUCCGCGUUGUAAUUUGCAGAGGAUGCUUCGGGUGCAGCCCCCGUCUAAGUGCCCUGGAACGGGCCGUCAUAGAGGGUGAGAAUCCCGUCUGGGACGGGGUGUCUGCGUCCGUGUGAAGCUCCUUCGACGAGUCGAGUUGUUUGGGAAUGCAGCUCUAAAUGGGUGGUAAAUUUCAUCUAAAGCUAAAUACUGGCCGGAGACCGAUAGCGCACAAGUAGAGUGAUCGAAAGAUGAAAAGCACUUUGAAAAGAGAGUUAAACAGCACGUGAAAUUGUUGAAAGGGAAGCGUUUGCGACCAGACUCGCCCGCGGGGUUCAGCCGGCAUUCGUGCCGGUGUACUUCCCCGUGGGCGGGCCAGCGUCGGUUUGGGCGGCCGGUCAAAGGCCCUCGGAAUGUAUCACCUCUCGGGGUGUCUUAUAGCCGAGGGUGCAAUGCGGCCUGCCUGGACCGAGGAACGCGCUUCGGCUCGGACGCUGGCGUAAUGGUCGUAAAUGACC